GGCCCCGGGGGCUCGGAACAGCUGCCCACUCUCCCCAGCAGCCAGCAUGGAAGCACCGGUGGCAGAAUAUUAACUAUCAAUUUCUGGGCAAGAGGAAGAGACAUCUAGUUCCCCUGCGCCCGUGAGAGCCGGGAUCUGGGGAGUCCAGCUUCAGGUUCAUCACAUGAAGGUCCCGAGG
rnacentral:lncRNA from 1 species